CAGGUGGUGUAUGACAUCAGCGGUGUGGGCGGAGCCUCGGAGCAGGAGCCACCACAGACGGACGUGAUCUCCAUCGAGCUGGACGAGUGGAGCUCUCAGAUGCUGCUGGCCGACUCGUGUGUGGUCAACGAGCUGGUGUCGUCUGUCAAAGUGGAGAACGUUUCUGCUCACCACGUGCAGAACAUUCAGAACCCCGAUGGUUUUAUGGUUUAUCCUGAUCUCCAGCUCACAGAGGAGGAGCAGAAGCUGCUGGAUCAAGAGGGA